rnacentral:lncRNA from 10 species
CAGAGCUCUGGGCAAAGCUCGGUGAGAUGAAUGGAGCUGUCACUGGAUAAAGGGAGAUUCCCGGACAGCACAUCCUUGUCAACACUCUCUCCUGUGUCACCGCAGAUGCUGGGACGAGGCACAGCAGAGGCCAUGGGACCUGGUCAAAGCGAGACUUCUUCCUUGGCCCAUUUUGAUUUCUUUUUUGUUGUCGUCGUUGAGACAGAGUCUAGCUUUGUCGCCCAGGCUGGAGUGCAGUGGCGUGAUCUCAGCACACUGCAACCUUUACAUCCUGGAUUCAAGUGAUUCUCCUGCCUCAGCCUCCCGAGUAGCUGGGAUUACAGGUGCCUGCCAUCAUGCCCAGCUAAUUUUUGUAUUUUUAGUAGAGACGGGGUUUCACCAUGUUGGCCAGGCUGGUCUCGAACUCCUGACUUCAGGUGAUCCACUCGCCUUGGCCUCCCAAAGUGCUGGGAUUACAGGCAUGAGCCACUGCGCCCGGCCUCCCACUUUGAUUUCUGAACCUUUUGGGUAACAUCUCCUUCCCUCACAUUUCUUGUGUGUUGAGGUCUUUUGUUCAGGCUUUCAGUGGAUGAAAGGACAGAGGAGGAAACAGCUGUGGGAAGAGCAGCUGCUGUGCCUCCCUGCCUCUCUGCUUGGCCACAGCUCCCCUCCCUCUCUGGCUGCCCUAGCACUGAACUCUGAUCUUCAGCAGUGAGACCUAGUACCUGCCUCCGCCUCACUGGGAAGCAAAGCCGCAGAGCAGGUGCAGCUGUGUGUGGCAUGGCCAGCCACAAGCCAGAAAAACCAGCAAACCAGGGCCGGGAACAAUACUUCCUGGGACCAGCCCCGGGGACCACUUUGGAAAUGAGCAUGGCAGAGGCAGCCACAGGUGGAGCAAACGGUUCGGGCUGAGAGAAGUCCCCACCCUCGCAUCAGUGGAAAGCAUGCAGAAAGACAGCCUGUGAGCAGAAAAAGGAGCGGCCAGAUUCCCAAGUCCGCACACCGUGGAGAGAGGAAAGCUCUAAGCAGCCAUUCCCUGGAUGACCUUGCCUUCAGAGCAGUGGUUUGUAGCCAUCUUCUGAGACAUGGACUCCCUUUGAAACCCCAUCAAGUGCUGUGGCUCUAACUCCCCAAAAAAUGUGCAUGUCACGUGCUGACACCCGUGUGCACACACAUACACAGAUAUACAUAGACACCCUCGCAUUCCUUUUACAUAAUUUCCAGGGGUUUAUGGGCACUUGAGGAAUCCCUGGAAUCAGAAUCAGAAACCUUGCCUUAGACGUUGGGAAACAAAGUUACUUACGCCUUUUUUUCUUAAAAUGUGCACCACUCAAGCCUCAACAACACAGUGAGACCCU